AUCCACAGCAUUUAGCAGAGAGCUUAAUUGACUUGCGUAAGAGAAGACAAACACAGCAUGUCCGUGGUCAGCUCAGUCAUGAUAUGGUGGGGUAAGUUUCUCUCCCGCGACGAGCGCAAUCCUUUGCACCAGCGGUUAGAACGGGAACUCAAAUGGGAAUGCCCGUGAUAAACUGGAGGAAGGUGGGGAUGACGUCAAGUCAUCAUGUCGCAGGCAGGCAGGGUUACACACGUCAUACAAUGGCAUAUACAAAGGGAAGCGACCUCGCGAGGGCAAGCUAACCUCCUAAAGUACGUCGUAGUCCGGAUCGGACUUUGCAACUCGAUUUCACGAAGUCGGAAUGCAUAGUAAUCAUAGAUCAGAA
rnacentral:rRNA from 1 species